UAGGGAAUAUUGGUCAAUGGGCGCAAGCCUGAACCAGCCAUGCCGCGUGAGUGAUGAAGGCCUUCGGGUCGUAAAACUCUUUUCUGAGGGAAGAACAUCCUGCGUAGGAAAUGACGCGGGCUUGACGGUACCUUAGGAAUAAGCAACGGCUAACUCCGUGCCAGCAGCCGCGGUAAUACGGAGGUUGCAAGCGUUGUUCGGAAUGACUGGGCGUAAAGGGGGCGCAGGCGGUUGGGCAAGUCCAAAGUGAAAGCCCGGGGCGCAACGCCGGAAGUGCUUUGGAUACGGCCUUACUCGAGUUCGUGAGAGGAAAGCGGAAUUCCAGGUGUAGCGGUGAAAUGCGUAGGUAUCUGGAGGAACACCGGUGGCGAAAGCGGCUUUCUGGCACGAUACUGACGCUGAGGCUCGAAAGCGUGGGGAGCAAACA
rnacentral:rRNA from 1 species